rnacentral:rRNA from 1 species
GACGGAGGGUGCGAGCGAUAUUCGGAAUCAUUGGGCGUAAAGAGCGUGUAGGGGGCCGGUUAAGUCAGGUGAGAAAGCCCGGGGCUCAACCUCGGAAGUGCACUUGAUACUGGUCGGCUUGAGUUCGGGAGAGGGAAGCGGAAUUCCUGGUGUAGAGGUGAAAUUCGUAGAUAUCAGGAGGAACACCGGUGGCGAAGGCGGCUUCUUGGACCGAAACUGACUCUAUGACGCGAAAGCGUGGGGAGCAAACAGG